rnacentral:rRNA from 1 species
CCUACGGGUGGCAGCAGUGGGGAAUAUUGCACAAUGGGGGAAACCCUGAUGCAGCGACGCCGCGUGAAGGAAGAAGGUUUUCGGAUCGUAAACUUCUAUCAGCAGGGAAGAAGAAAGUGACAGUACCUGACUAAGAAGCCCCGACUAACUACGUGCCAGCAGCCGCGGUAAUACGUAGGGGGCAAGCGAUAUCCGGAAUCACUGGGUGUAAAGGGUGCGUAGGCGGUAGGGCAAGUUAGAUGUGAAAGCCCCGGGCUCAACCCCGGGAUUGCAUUUGAAACUGUCUUACUAGAGUGCAAGUGAGGAAAGCGGAAUUCCUAGUGUUGCGGUGAAAUGCGUAGAUAUUAGGAAGAACACCAGUGGCGACGGCGGCGUUCUGGACUAUAACUGACGCUGUGGCACGAAAGCGUGGGGAGCGAACAGGAUUAGAUACCCGAGUAGUC